CAGCAGCCGCGGGAAUACGUAGGGUGCGAGCGUUAAUCGGAAUUACUGGGCGUAAAGCGUGCGCAGGCGGUUGUGUAAGACAGGUGUGAAAUCCCCGGGCUUAACCUGGGAACUGCGCUUGUGACUGCACGGCUAGAGUAUGGCAGAGGGGGGUGGAAUUCCACGUGUAGCAGUGAAAUGCGUAGAGAUGUGGAGGAACACCGAUGGCGAAGGCAGCCCCCUGGGAUAAUACUGACGCUCAUGCACGAAAGCGUGGGGAGCAAUCAGGAUUAGAUACCCGUGUAGUCCCUGUCUCUUAACA
rnacentral:rRNA from 1 species